AUUGAACGCUAGCGGGAUGCCUUACACAUGCAAGUCGAACGGAGUGGCGAACGGGUGAGUAAUGUAUAGGAACGUGCCCCGUCGCGGGGGAUAACUACGCGAACGCGUAGCUAAUACCGCAUACUCUUGCAUCGGCCGCUGUCGGAUUAGCUCGUUGGUGGGGUAACGGCGAACCAAGGCGACGAUCCGUAGCUGGUUUGAGAGGACGACCAGCCACACUGGGACUGAGACACGGCCCAGACUCCUACGGGAGGCAGCAGUGGGGAAUUUUGGACAAUGGGGGAAACCCUGAUCCAGCCAUCCCGCGUGUGCGAUGAAGGCCUUCGGGUUGUAAAGCACUUUUGGCAGGAAAGCGGUACCUGCAGAAUAAGCACCGGCUAACUACGUGCCAGCAGCCGCGGUAAUAC
rnacentral:rRNA from 1 species